GCAGUGGUGGUUCAGUGGUAGAAUUCUUGCCUUCUGUGCGGGAGACCUGGGUUUGAUUCCCGGCUAAUGUA
rnacentral:tRNA from 1 species